GGCUUCCGCGGGCAUGGAGCGGUGCGCUGGAGCCAGUCCCGGUCCCGGACCCGAGCGGCCCGGCCUGAGACACUGGGUGCUGCCCCCUUCCAGCUUUGGGCAGUUGGGGGCCGCGCCCGGGCUGGAGCCGCUGUUAACUCUGAAGCCUAAUGGUGCCAGGCAACAAGCCAGUAACUGGUUGCUGCGGGUUGUAGCCGCUCUCCGGAGUGGUGCCAGGGCAGGCUGCUGCGAGGAGCUGGUUGCUGGCAAAGAUUGCCGGGGUGGAGAAAAUUCAACCCCUUUCCCACAAAAUAAUUCCUGCCUAUAUCCCCUGCCCCAAGAGAAAAAACCCUUCCUAAGCCUAAAGAGGUGAUCCCUGGGGCCCUGAGCCAGUAACCCCACAGCAAUUAAACCAAUUCCAGGUAUAUAGUCUGACCUGGUGCUGCUGAGAGUAAUGGGAAAUAACUUUACAGAAUUAGACAAAACACACUUACUGCUGACAGAGAAAAAGCUACAUUUCUUGUUUUAGAAACAUAGUUCUGUGCUCUUUCUACUCUCCAGGGAAUGGGGAAAGCAGAAACACAUACAGAUGUCAAAUCAAAACACAUUUGUUCUUAGUGUGGCGCCCCCACUCCCCCACCCUGGGAAUUUACUCGGCAGCUUGUUGUUUCCUAGAUAAAUAUGGACUAUGCAGCACAAAUGGAAUGUACCUGUUGGACAAUCAAAGGAGUUGCUCCGUUCCUAUGGACCCCAAAUCAGAAUUCAACAUAUAUAUUUUAUACUAAUAACAAUUUAUCAAAGUAUUUAUUAAAUGUUAACUUGCUAACUUGAGACCUUGGGCGGAGACAUUAUGUAACCUUUUUAACCUUUGGCUACUGUGCUAUCUUGUCUUGCUGCAAAACCUAUCCCGGGGUGUGGAACUGCCUACCCCGUCACUUUCCCCCGCCCAUGGUAAAUCCAUAUAUUUCAUUGUAAUCAAUGAAUUGACAGUGUCACUCCGCCACUGCUGUGUGUAAUAAACCUCUAUUCUUUGACCUC